GUCCACGCUGUAAACGAUGAGUGCUAGAUGUUGGUGAAGGAAUUCAUCAGUGUCGGAGCUAACGCAUUAAGCACUCCGCCUGGGGAGUACGGUCGCAAGAUUAAAACUCAAAGGAAUUGACGGGGGCCCGCACAAGCGGUGGAGUAUGUGGUUUAAUUAGAAGCAACGCGAAAACCUUACCAGCUCUUGACAUGGGGAUUACGGGUAGCAGAGAUGUUAUCCAUCGGUUCGGCCGGGUCCUACACAGGUGCUGCAUGGCUGUCGU
rnacentral:rRNA from 1 species